GAUGAACGCUGGCGGCGUGCCUAAUACAUGCAAGUCGAGCGAACAGACGAGGAGCUUGCUCCUCUGACGUUAGCGGCGGACGGGUGAGUAACACGUGGAUAACCUACCUAUAAGACUGGGAUAACUUCGGGAAACCGGAGCUAAUACCGGAUAAUAUAUUGAACCGCAUGGUUCAAUAAUGAAAGACGGUUUUGCUGUCACUUAUAGAUGGAUCCGCGCCGCAUUAGCUAGUUAGUAAGGUAACGGCUUACCAAGGCAACGAUGCGUAGCCGACCUGAGAGGGUGAUCGGCCACACUGGAACUGAGACACGGUCCAGACUCCUACGGGAGGCAGCAGUAGGGAAUCUUCCGCAAUGGGCGAAAGCCUGACGGAGCAACGCCGCGUGAGUGAUGAAGGUCUUCGGAUCGUAAAACUCUGUUAUUAGGGAAGAACAAAUGUGUAAGUAACUAUGCACGUCUUGACGGUACCUAAUCAGAAAGCCACGGCUAACUACGUG
rnacentral:rRNA from 1 species